CCCUGCCAUUUGUACACACCGCCCGUCGCUACUACCGAUUGAAUGGCUUAGUGAGCCCUUGGGAGUGGUCCAUUUGAGCCGGCAACGGCACGUUUGGACUGCAAACUUGGGCAAACUUGGUCAUUUAG
rnacentral:rRNA from 1 species